UACGUAGGGUGCAAGCGUUGUCCGGAAUUAUUGGGCGUAAAGAGCUCGUAGGCGGUCUGUCGCGUCUGCUGUGAAAACUCAGGGCUUAACCCUGAGCUUGCAGUGGGUACGGGCAGACUAGAGUGCGGUAGGGGUGUGGAAUUCCCGGUGUAGUGGUGGAAUGCGUAGAUAUCGGGAGGAACAUCAGUGGCGAAAGCGGCACCCUGGCAUUAGCCUGACGCUCAUGUGCGAAAGCGUGGGGAGCGAACGGG
rnacentral:rRNA from 1 species